rnacentral:tRNA from 1 species
UCCCCAGUGGCUCAGCAGUAAAGAAUCUGCCUUCAAUGCAGGAGACACAGGUUCAAUCCCUGGGUUGGGAA